rnacentral:rRNA from 1 species
AGUGAACGCUGGCGGCGUGCUUAACACAUGCAAGUCGAACGAGAACGGGUUAUAGCUUGCUAUAAUUGUCAGCUAAGUGGCGCACGGGUGAGUAAUGUAUAGGUAAUAUGCCUCUUACUAAGGGAUAACAAAUGGAAACGUUUGCUAAUACCUUAUACUCCUUAUUAACAUAAGUUAAUAAGGGAAAGAUUUAUAGGUAAGAGAUUAGCCUGUAUUGUAUCAGUUAGUUGGUGGGGUAAUGGCUUACCAAGACUAUGACACAUAACUGGUUUGAGAGGAUGAUCAGUCACACUGGAACUGAGACACGGUCCAGACUCCUACGGGAGGCAGCAGUGGGGAAUAUUGCACAAUGGACGAAAGUCUGAUGCAGCAACGCCGCGUGAGGAUGACACAUUUCGGUGCGUAAACUCCCUUUAUAUGAGAAGAUAAUGACGGUAUUAUAUGAAUAAGCACCGGCUAACUCCGUGCCAGCAGCCGCCGUAA